rnacentral:rRNA from 1 species
UACGUAGGGCGCAAGCGUUGUCCGGAAUUAUUGGGCGUAAAGAGCUCGUAGGCGGUCUGUCGCGUCUGGUGUGAAAUCCCAUGGCUCAACUGUGGGCUUGCAUCGGGUACGGGCAGACUAAGAGUGAUGUAGGGGAGACUGGAAUUCCUGGUGGUAAGCGGUGAAAUGCGCAGAUAAUCAGGAGGAACACCGAUGGCGAAGGCAGGUCUCGUGGGCAUUAACUGACGCUGAGGAGCGAAAGCAUGGGUAGCAAACAGG